rnacentral:rRNA from 1 species
GAGUUUGAUCCUGGCUCAGAGCGAACGUUGGCAGUGUGUCUUAAGCAUGCAAGUCGAACGGCAGCAGGCCAUAUAGCAAUAUAUGGUGCUGGCGAGUGGCGAACCGGUGAGUAACGCGUAAGAAUCUACCCUCUGGUGGAGGAUAACUCAUGGAAACAUGAGCUAAUACCGCAUGAAGCCGAACCCAUAGUGAUAUGAGCUUGGUAAAAGGAGAAAUCCGCCAGUGGAUGAGCUUGCGUCCCAUUAGCUAGUUGGUAGGGUAAGAGCCUACCAAGGCGAUGAUGGGUAGCUGGCCUGAGAGGGUGGUCAGCCACACUGGGACUGAGAUACGGCCCAGACUCCUACGGGAGGCAGCAGCUAAGAAUCUUCCUCAAUGGGGGAAACCCUGAAGGAGCGACACUGCGUGCAGGAUGAAGGCCCUUUGGGUUGUAAACUGCUUUUGUAGGGGAGAAAUAACCGAAUGGGAUGAUAGUACCCUACGAAUAAGUCCCGGCUAACUACGUGCCAGCAGCCGCGGUAAAACGUAAGGGGCGAACGUUGCUCGGAAUUACUGGGCGUAAAGGGCCGGUAGGUGGCUUUAUAAGUCAGUUGUCAAAUACCCAUGCUCAACGUGGGAGAGGCGACUGAUACUGUAGAGCUUGAGUAGAGGAGGGGAUGACGGAAUACCCGGUGUAGGGGUGAAAUCUGUUGAUAUCGGGUAGAACACCGAUGGCGAAAGCGGUCAUCUAGCCUCAUACUGACACUNCACGGCGAAAGCCAGGGGAGCGAACGGGGAUAGAUACCCCGGUAGUCCUGGCCAUAAACGAUGCAUGCUANGUAUUGGCACCGCGUUGGUGAUAGUACCGUAGCUUACGCGUUUAGCAUGCCCGCUGGGGAGUAUGCUCGCAAGAGUGAAAACUCAAGGAAUUGACGGAUCU